rnacentral:pre_miRNA from 1 species
CAUGUACUCCCUCCGUCCGAAAAAACUUGUCAUCAAAAUGGACAAAAAGGGAUGUAUCUAGAACUAAAAUACAUCUAGGUACAUCCCCUUUUAUUCAUUUUGAUGACAAGUAUUUCCGGACGGAGGGAAUAUUCG